rnacentral:tRNA from 7 species
ACCGUUGUAGUUUAGUUGGUUAGGAUACUCAGCUCUUAGCUGAGAGACCCACGUUCGAGUCCCACUAAUGGCA